rnacentral:rRNA from 1 species
GGGUCAGUAGGUUGGUCGUGCCACCGGUACGUACUGGUCUCACUGAUUCCUCCUUCCUGAAGAACCGUAAUGCCAUUAAUUUGGUGUUGCGGGGAAACAGGACUGUUACAUUGAAAAAAUUAGAGUGUUUAAAGCAAGCUAACGCUUGAAUAAAUUAGCAUGGAAUAAUGAAAUAGGACGAUCGAUCCUAUUUUGUUGGUUUCUAGGAUUGACGUA